rnacentral:rRNA from 1 species
GACAGAGGAUGCAAGCGUUAUCCGGAAUGAUUGGGCGUAAAGCGCUUGUAGGCGGCACGUCAAGUCGCGUGUGAAAUCCCCGGGCUUAACCUGGGAAGUGCGCGCGAAACUGACGAGCUUGAGUGCCGGAGAGGGUCGCGGAAUUCCCGGUGUAGAGGUGAAAUUCGUAGAUAUCGGGAGGAACACCAGUGGCGAAGGCGGCGACCUGGACGGACACUGACGCUGAGACGCGAAAGCGUGGGGAGCAAACAGG